rnacentral:tRNA from 1 species
GGCAGGGUAGCUCAGUUGGUUAGAGCACAACAUUCAUAACGUUGAGGUCAUGAGUUCGAGUCUCAUCUCUGCUA